rnacentral:rRNA from 1 species
CCUACGGGAGGCAGCAGUGAGGAAUAUUGGUCAAUGGGCGCAAGCCUGAACCAGCCAAGUAGCGUGAAGGAUGACUGCCCUACGGGUUGUAAACUUCUUUUAUAAGGGAGUAAAGUGAGGCACGUGUGCCUUUUUGUAUGUACUUUAUGAAUAAGGCUCGGCUAACUCCGUGCCCGCAGCCGCGGUAAUACGGAGGAUCCGAGCGUUAUCCGGAUUUAUUGGGGUUAAAGGGAGCGUAGAUGGGUUGGUAAGUCAGUUGUGAAAGUGUGCGGGUCAACCGUCAAAUUGCAAUUGAUACUGGCAGCCUUGAGUACAGUUGAGGUAGGCGGAAUUCGUGGUGUAGCGGUGAAAUGCGUAGAUAUCACGAAGAACUCCGAUUGCGAAGGCAGCUUACUAAACUGCAACUGACAUUGAUGCUCGAAAGUGUGGGGAUCAAACAGGAUUAGAUACCCGAGUAGUC